UACGAGUGCCCCGAGCGUUAUCCGGAAUCAUUGGGCGUAAAGGGUGUGUAGGUGGCAGUGUUAGUCAACUGUUAAAGCCCGGGGCUUAACCCCGGACGUGCGGUUGAUACGGCACAGCUAGAGGAUGCGAGGGGUCUGUGGAACUCAUGGAGUAGGGGUGAAAUCCGUUGAUAUCAUGGGGAACACCAAAAGCGAAGGCAGCAGACUGGCGCACUCCUGACACUGAAACACGAAAGCGUGGGUAGCGAAUGGG
rnacentral:rRNA from 1 species